rnacentral:misc_RNA from 1 species
CAGAGAAAUUGCCCUUUGGGGUAGAUCUCCCACCCUUUGUUUACAUUACCUUUGUUGCUUUGGCAGGCCCGUCCUUUGACCACCGGCCUAGGCUGGUCCGUGCCUGCCAGAGGACCCUAAACUCUUGAACUUUGUGUUGUCUGAGUAAUAUUUAUAAUAAGUUA